rnacentral:lncRNA from 1 species
GGACAACCUCUGAGGAGACAAGGCCAAGGGCGGGCGGCUAGACCAAAUCUCACCAACCGCUUCCGCGCCUCGGAAAAGCCCGCCCACCCCGCUUCACGCCGGACGACUCACUGGCCUCGUAUGUCCUCCUGGGAUUGGCUGCCUCUGGAUCAAAGGGCGGGCCUUGAGCCCUCCUUCCGGUGACACCGAGGCCGGCAGCCCCCGAUGCCGGAAGAACGCUCUUGCGCGCGCUUUCGAAAGUCCCGGCAGCUCUGGGGCCGGGGACGCGCUCACGGGGGGUGGGGAUGGGGAUACGGCGACAAAAGGAGGAGGGGGCAGGACCUGCAGCGCCAGGGAUGCGGGAGGCUAGAGGCAGGAGCAGGGGGCACCGUACUUUGACCUCCAGCCCUGCCCUCUGGGCUUCCGUGCCCUGCCCACGCUCUGAGCUGCGCCUGGAUCUGGUUCUGGCUUCUGGACAGUCCUUCAGUGAGUGACUGCACCUGGGAAGCCCCGGCCCUGGGACCCUCGAUACUGGCUCUUCAACACUGCCGACCUAGGUGCAAAGUCCUGUUGGAGGUAAUCGA